GCAAGGUAGAGAGGACCAUCUUGGCGCCCACACUGAUGUCUAUCGAGCCUCCAGAAAGGAAAGGGAGGGGGAAAUGAACUUUGUUCAGUGACAACUUUUAUCUCCGGGUCUCGGGCUGCUGAAAUGUCAAGCCGGGGCUAGAUGGGCUCUCCUGACAGCAUUGCUGCACGGAGGCUGCCUCCCAGCCCCAGGGGAUGCAGGGCUGCGGUGGGUGGUGGUGGUGGUGGGGGGUGUUGACUAUAAGUCAACCGAAUACAUCUUGAAUUCUCGAAGCUGGAGUUCGGGACUUGUUGCGUCUCUUCUGGAGAGGAAGGCUGCAGAGUGGAGCCAUCGGAUCCCCUGCUUGCAAUGACCUUGAGAAACUGUCCCCGAAAGGACAGUGCCUAAGCCCAUUUGAGAGGAGAAUCUGUCUGGUUUUUCAACUCCCCAGAUGGUGGCUGUGACCCCCCAGGAAGACUUGGAGGAUGCGUGUUGAAGAAGGUGGAGCCGCUGUUAGUCUGUCUCUUAGAGAAGUGAAGAGGAGAGCUUCUUUCACCAACCAGAGGCACUGGUUUUGUCCUGCUACAUGAGUGAACAGUGAAGUUCUGGGUUCAAGGCAUUAUGGGGUCAUGAUCUCACAGGUCAUGGGAUUGAGCCCUGCAUUGAGCUCUGCAAUCAAUGAGG